rnacentral:rRNA from 1 species
AUUGAACGCUGGCGGCAAGCCUAACACAUGCAAGUCGAGCGGAUGAGAGGAGCUUGCUCUUCGAUUCAGCGGCGGACGGGUGAGUAAUGCCUAGGAAUCUGCCUAGUAGUGGGGGACAACGUUUCGAAAGGAACGCUAAUACCGCAUACGUCCUACGGGAGAAAGUGGGGGAUCUUCGGACCUCACGCUAUUAGAUGAGCAUAGGUCGGAUUAGCUAGUUGGUAGGGUAAAGGCCUACCAAGGCGACGAUCCGUAACUGGUCUGAGAGGAUGAUCAGUCACACUGGAACUGAGACACGGUCCAGACUCCUACGGGAGGCAGCAGUGGGGAAUAUUGGACAAUGGGCGAAAGCCUGAUCCAGCCAUGCCGCGUGUGUGAAGAAGGCCUUCGGGUCGUAAAGCACUUUAAGUUGGGAGGAAGGGCUCAUAGCGAAUACCUGUGAGUUUUGACGUUACCAACAGAAUAAGCACCGGCUAACUUCGUGCCAGCAGCCGCCGUAA